CUUAGUCCGUGGUGGUAAACUGGUAAGUCCCACAAUGUUCGUGUACGGCCGUGCGGGAGUUACUUCACAUUUUCACAUGUACAAAUGUACAAUGGACAUCGGGUUCAUACUUCAUAGCCUAACCGAAUAAUGAAUAUAUUUAACUGUCAUUCCACGUUUAGUGUUUACUGUUUACUGGCGUUGAAUUUCCGGCUUAAAAAUGUAAUGCUCGAUGCUUUAUAAUCUACUCAUUGCCUCACUCUCGUGUAGUCUUUUUUGUAUAAUAUAUUUAUGAAAUGUGUAUUUAAAACUGUCCAAUAACUUGUACACUGUACGUCAUUUUUAAAAGUGUUGUCGUUGCUUUAUCAGAAAUGUCCGUGAGUACAAAUCAAUCGAAAUGCGCUGUUAAUGGCUUUACCGCCAAAAAUAUGGCAUGUCAUCGUUUUCCCAAUGAAAAAAGGAUUUAGCAAGGCUUUUGGAAUGAAUAAAGCGGUUGGGCUUUACGGCAGAUGAUCGUCAUGCAUUCAAGAACAAAUUUGUUUAUUCAAUAUAAUUUGCUGAAAAUUGUUCUAGUCCUGGAAAAAAGAUUGAAUGCAAAUGUGUAUCCUACUUUAAAUUUACCUGCGGUUAGUGAAUUUCUUAAUGACGAGGACAACUAGUUAUAUCAAUUAAACAGUAAUAAUUAGAAUACAUUUCAAAAUAGCAGCAUUCUAAACACUGCAGCAGUGGUGCCGAGGUACCUUAAUAUACAUUUGCUCAUAAAUUAUGAGUCAUAAUAAAGUUAUUAUGUAUAUAAAAUGUGACCUACUCUCAGUAUAUGUUUGCUUAAAAUUAAAUAACUGUUGAUUUGGAAAUGUAUUAUGACAAAAGUAGUAUAAAAGAUGAAAUGAUCCAACAAAUAACGUACAAAAACCAUUAUUUGUCCGCUGUAAAACCAUGCCAAAUACUGUAAAAUCAUCCAUGCAGUCUUCGUAUGGAAAAGGUUUUAAAUAUUAAUAAUCAGUCAAUGGAGAAUAGUAAUGAUGGUGUCAUGACUAGUGGUUUAACAGUCUGGAGGAUAUGGCCGAUAGAUUCACUGCUGCUGCCGCUACAACCAGCCCUGUCUUAUUCUGACGCAAUGGUGUCGGUAAGGCAAACUUCCCCACAACUUAAACAGAUAGAGCAGCAUGUAUAUGUUACCUGCACAGGAUGAAGAUUCUAUUGUUGCUAGCGAUGCAGAGGGAGGAGUCGAAAUCAUCACACAACAUAAUGUAAACGGUAAAGAAAAAGACACCAUUUAACCCGAAUACUGUCAUUGCACAAAUGAUAACAAUUAAAAAUUUAAAUUAGGUUGGUAUUGAUAAUAAUAAUGAUAGUUGUAUGGAUGCGUUCGACAUGAGCGCUUAUUUAUUUUCAGUGCUUACGCUUAUCGUAUACGCUUUGAACCGUUUGUUUGGACAUGAGAGCGCUCACAGGCAGGCCUCUAGACGAACGCGAAUAUUGAAUACUAUAAAAUUGAUGGUGUGAGCGUUACGACGUUAUCAGUUAACAUUAAGCGUGUUAUUUAUCGUGUUAUCUCUUAUCAUUUUACAUUUGAGCGUUCGCCUUGGGAAAUAGCGCUCAUGCUUUCACUGCACUAUAUAUUUAAAAAAGACAAAUAUUCUAUAACAAUAUCUAUUGAACUUGAUUUUUAAAUACCUGUUCUAUACUCAAUAUUUUCCACUAUAUUUAUGUUAAUGAUUCCUUAAAUUAUAAUAUUUUUAUUAAAUAAAUUGGAGGAGGUAGUAUUGUAAUAAAUUUAAAGACCGGAUUUAUAUUCUCUUAAAAUACCCAAAAUAUGAUGCUAAUAUUCUCUAAAAAACCUUAAAAUAUUCUCAUUAUUUUCUCUCAAAAAUUUAUAAAAUAUGUAAAAAUAUUCAAUAAACAUCAUUAUAUGCUUUAAUAUGCAUUUUUUAAAUUUUUUUUUCAAGAUUAUUUUAAUAGUGAGGUAUUAAUUAGGUAUUAAAAGUUGCGUAUUAUACCUAAUGGAAUACUAUUGCACUUUAGUAAGAGUGGGAAAUAGGGAUAUAAUAUAAAUAUAACAGUAUAAUAUUAAAACAUAAAAACAAUAGUCCUUU